rnacentral:rRNA from 1 species
CCCUUAGAUGUCCGGGGCUGCACGCGCGCUACACUGUAGAAAGCAGCGUGCUUUAAAACCUUUCCUGAAAAGGAUGGGUAACCCCAGCAAAAUUCUACGUGCUUGGGAUAGAGAUUUGCAAUUUUCUCUCUUGAACGAGGAAUUCCCAGUAAGUGCGAGUCAUCAGCUCGCGUUGAUUACGUCCCUGCCCUUUGUACACACCGCCCGUCGCUACUACCGAUUGAAUGGUUUAGUGAGGCCUUCGGAUCCGCGACUCGUUUGUGGAGAAGUUGGACAAACUCAGUCAUUUAGAGGAAGUAAAAGUCGUAACA